rnacentral:misc_RNA from 1 species
GAUGAAGAACGUAGCGAAAUGCGAUAAGUAAUGUGAAUUGCAGAAUUCAGUGAAUCAUCGAAUCUUUGAACGCACAUUGCGCCCCCUGGUAUUCCGGGGGGCAUGCCUGUUCGAGCGUCAUUUCACCACUCAAGCCUCGCUUGGCAUUGGGCAACGCGGUCCGCCGCGUGCCUCAAAUCGACCGGCUGGGUCUUCUGUCCCCUAAGCGUUGUGGAAACUAUUCGCUAAAGGGUGUUCGGGAGGCUACGCCGUAAAACAACCCCAUUUCUAAGGUUGACCUCGGAUCAGGUAGGGAUACCCGCUGAACUUAAGCAUAUCAAUAAGCGGAGGA